GCCGCGGUACCCUAACCGUGCAAAGGUAVMANNAUCACUUGUUCUUUAAAUAAGGACUUGUWUCAACGGCAUCACGAGGGUUAAACUGUCUCCUUUUUCACAUCAGUGAAACUAAUCUCCCCGUGAAGAAGCGGGAAUAGUUCUAUAAGACGAGAAGACCCCAUGGAGCUUUAAACCCAACUACACCCCCAUUAAUCCCACCUUUAAACAUUGGGGCCCUGUAUGUUUUGGUUUUGGGUUGGGGUGACCACGGAGCACAAACUAGCCUCCACAAUGAACAAGACUCCUCUCUUUAUCUAAGACCCACACCUCCMAGAAUUAGCACUCUNACMUAAAAUGAUCCGAUAUUCGAUCMAUGAACCAAGUUACCCUGGGGAUAACAGCGCAAUCCACUUCMAGAGCCCCUAUCGACAAGUGGGUUUACGAMCUCVAUGUUGGAUCAGGGUAUCCUAGUGGUGCAGCAGCUACUAAAGGUUCGUUGUUCAACGAWUAAAACCCU
rnacentral:rRNA from 1 species